GAUGAACGCUGGCGGCGUGCCUAAUACAUGCAAGUAGAACGCUGAAGGAAGGAGCUUGCUCUUUCCGGAUGAGUUGCGAACGGGUGAGUAACGCGUAGGUAACCUGCCUGGUAGCGGGGGAUAACUAUUGGAAACGAUAGCUAAUACCGCAUAACAGUAGAUGUUGCAUGAUAUCUACUUAAAAGGUGCAAUUGCACCACUACCAGAUGGACCUGCGUUGUAUUAGCUAGUUGGUGAGGUAACGGCUCACCAAGGCGACGAUACAUAGCCGACCUGAGAGGGUGAUCGGCCACACUGGGACUGAGACACGGCCCAGACUCCUACGGGAGGCAGCAGUAGGGAAUCUUCGGCAAUGGACGGAAGGCUGACCGAGCAACGCCGCGUGAGGGAAGAAGGUUUUCGGAUCGUAAAGCUCUGUUGUAAGAGAAGAACGAGUGUGAGAGUGGAAAGUUCACACUGUGACGGUAUCUUACCAGAAAGGGACGGCUAACUACGUG
rnacentral:rRNA from 1 species